rnacentral:rRNA from 1 species
CUACGGGGCGCAGCAGUGGGGAAUAUUGGACAAUGGGGGAAACCCUGAUCCAGCAAUGCCGCGUGUGUGAAGAAGGCCUGCGGGUUGUAAAGCACUUUCGGUUGGGAGGACUGCUUCUAGCACUAAUAUUGUUGGAAGUUGACGUUACCUUCAGAAGAAGCACCGGCUAACUCCGUGCCAGCAGCCGCAGUAAUACGGAGGGUGCAAGCGUUAAUCGGAAGUACUGGGCGUAAAGCGCGCGUAGGUGGCUAGAUCAGUCGGGUGUGAAAGCCCCGGGCUUAACCUGGGAACUGCAUCCGAUACUGUCUAGCUUGAGUACAGGAGAGGGGAGUGGAAUUCCACAUGUAGCGGUGAAAUGCGUAGAUAUGUGGAGGAACACCAAUGGCGAAGGCAGCUCUCUGGCCUGAUACUGACGCUGAGGUGCGAAAGCGUGGGGAGCAAACAGGAUUAGAUACCCUCGUAGUC